rnacentral:rRNA from 1 species
CCAAUAGCGUAUAUUAAAGUUGUUGCAGUUAAAAAGCUCGUAGUUGAACUUCAGGCCUGGCUGGGCGGUCCGCCUUCCGGGUGAGUACUGCCUGUGGUCGGGUCCUACCUUCUGGCGAAGCGUCAUGGCCUUAACCGGCCGUGGCGGGGAACCAGGACUUUUACUGUGAAAAAAUUAGAGUGUUCAAAGCAGGCACGCGCUUGAAUACAUUAGCAUGGAAUAAUGGAAUAGGACAGUGGUUCUAUUUGUUGGUUUCUAGGACCGUUGUAAUGAUUAAUAGGGAUAGUUGGGGGCAUUAGUAUUAAAUUGUCAGAGGUGAAAUUCUUGGAUUUAUUGAAGACUAACUACUGCGAAAGCAUUUGCCAAGGAUGUUUUCAUUAAUCAAGAACGAAAGUUAGGGGAUCGAAGACGAUCAGAUACCGUCGUAGUCUUAACCAUAAACUAUGCCGACUAGGAAUCGGGCGAUGUUGACAAAAUGACGCGCUCGGCACCUCAUG